CGAUUGAAACACCGGUUCUCAUACGAUCACCGAAGUUAAGCAACGUUGACUCUGGUAAGUAGAUAGAUGGGUAACCGUUUGGAAAUACCAGGUGCUGUAA